rnacentral:lncRNA from 1 species
UGAUUUAGAAGGUAAUGGGAAGAAGGAAGCUUCAAAGAUUCAGAUUGAUCUUGAGAUGAAACUAAAGUAUUCUAAAAAACACUUUAUGUCAGCACUUUAAAAAAAUGAAGAGUUAGAAAAGGACCUAGUCUGUUUGAAAUAAGAGCUCAACAAGUCUCUUAAAUGGACUAGUCCUUCACAAGUUCUUUCUAAUUUGACUAGUCGGGGUGUUAAU